rnacentral:rRNA from 1 species
GAUGAACGCUAGCGGGAGGCCUAACACAUGCAAGCCGAGCGGUAUGGGUAGCUUGCUACCCAGAGAGCGGCGUACGGGUGCGUAACACGUGUGCAACCUGCCCCUAUCCGGGGGAUAGCCCUCCGAAAGGAGGAUUAAUACCCCAUAAUAUAUCUGGUGGCAUCACUAGAUAUUGAAAACCCCGGUGGAUAGGGAUGGGCACGCGCAAGAUUAGAUAGUUGGCGGGGUAACGGCCCACCAAGUCGAUGAUCUUUAGGGGUCCUGAGAGGGAGAUCCCCCACAAUGGUACUGAGACACGGACCAGACUCCUACGGGAGGCAGCAGUGAGGACUAUUGGACAAGGGGUGGAAGCCUGAUCCAGCCAUCCCGCGUGAGGGACGACGGCCCUAGGGGUUGUAAACCUCUUUUGUACGGGGAUAAACCUAUCUACGUGUAGAUAGCUGAAGGUACCGUACGAAUAAGCACCGGCUAACUCCGUG